GUGGGGUCAUCAUUUGCCGGGCUCCUUUUCGGCUUUUGUGCCGUUCGGGGAUACCCACUUGUCAGGUUCGUCCGGAUUCUUCUCCGCUGAAGUCGGGGCUAAGUUCGGCUCCCUUGAUAGUCCGAAUGGAGAAGCCCUCCGGGAGUUGGAGUAGCUCGAUUCUCGUAAGAGCCAGGGCAAAGUUUUUCAGCAAUCAAAGUCAUAAGUAAAGUCUGGCUUCCGUAGAAGUCCGGGCGGAGUUGUCCUGUAGCUGCCGUUGGCGGUGGAGCCC
rnacentral:lncRNA from 1 species